rnacentral:lncRNA from 10 species
AGAGUCUGACGGGGCCCUGCUGUGGGUGGAGCAAAGGGUGCCUCAUAUCUCUGGGGUGCUUGGGGUCGGCCACAAAGGUGGUAGGAAAUGGGGUCGACAGAUAGGUGAGGGUGGGCCUUGUGCUUCAGAUAACCUCACAUGGUCAGGCAAGGGUUAGGGAUGGGAUGCAAGGAGCCUAAGGGGCUCACAACAAUUACUGACCUAAGGAAGGGCCCAGGAGAGGGAAAAGGGAGGAGUUGUGAGAAGGGACAGGGGAGCUCAGAGGAGAGCACAGAAGAACUUCUUCUCCCGGAAGGGGUUCUCCGAAGUGGGCACAGGGGUGAUGAGGGGAUCCUCACAGGCGUGGGCAUCACAGGACCCUCCAUUUUCCAUAUCCAGGAAAAUGUGAUGCGCCACAGGUAUCAGCGUCUGGAUCGCCACUUCACGUUUUAGCCACAAGUGACUCAGUGGAAGAUCCAGAGUCAACAGAGGCUCGUCAGGAAGAUGUCUACAGAAAAGGUAGACCAAAAGGAGGAAGCUGGGGAAAAAGAGGUGUGCGGAGACCAGAUCAAAG